rnacentral:ncRNA from 1 species
AAGCGUUCGGUCUGUUGGUGCAAGUCGAAGCGAUCACGGCGCGAAACGACCCACGUAAGUCUCCAUGUCCUCAAGCCGCCUCGGAGGACGAAGGAGUGGCAGGGCCUCCAGGUCCGCUAUUCGACCACAUGCCUUUUGGAGAUGAUCAUGGCCGGGCCGGGGAAGCGAAGAGCUUCCAAGAUUUGUGUCAGUCCUGCCGCGAGAGCGAGAGACGCCAUAAAGGGAGCGCGGGCUCUGAAGUACCGGCUAAAGCGUCCAGCAGGCGAGUGUGGGGGCUAAACCAAGGUCAGCGAACGCUU